rnacentral:tRNA from 1 species
UUCCAUCGGUCAGGAUACCUGGCUCUCACCCAGGAGGCUCGGGUUCGAUUCCCGG